rnacentral:rRNA from 1 species
ACCCAGACUCCUACGGGAGGCAGCAGUGGGGAAUAUUGCACAAUGGGGGAAACCCUGAUGCAGCGACGCCGCGUGAGCGAUGAAGUAUUUCGGUAUGUAAAGCUCUAUCAGCAGGGAAGAAGAAAGAUGGUACCUGACUAAGAAGCCCCGGCUAACUACGUGCCAGCAGCCGCGGUAAUACGUAGGGGGCAAGCGUUAUCCGGAUUUACUGGGUGUAAAGGGAGCGUAGACGGCAGCGCAAGUCUGAAGCGAAAUGCCGGGGCUUAACCCCGGAACUGCUUUGGAAACUGAGCAGCUAGAGUGCAGGAGAGGUAAGUGGAAUUCCUAGUGUAGCGGUGAAAUGCGUAGAUAUCAGGAGGAACACCGGCGGCGAAGGCGGCCUGCUGGACCGUGACUGACGUUGAGGCUCGAGAGCGUGGGGAGCAAACAGGAUUAGAUACCCCGGUACUA